UGAAGCUGCAAUGACAGCAGAGUAAGUCUCUUCCUGCCUCAUGUGACCUUGCAGAGCUGAUCUAUUGUGCAGAAGCUGCAUCAGAUGAAGAGGAAAUGGAUGACACCCUUGCCUCUGGAUGGGACAGUGAUCUUUCCUCCAUUAUCCUCCUCCUCCUCCACUUGAUUCCACCUUGAGCCCAAGGCCAUAAAAGACCAGGCGAGGUGUCUGCAUCUCAAGCUGAGAAGCAUCUCGUCAUCUUCAAGAAGAGUGGAACAAGCCUCCAGGAACAUGUUGACCCUAUCAAGAGCAUCACUCAGCCCUAUCUACUUGCCGUCACGAUGAAAAGAAGCACCAUCCAUGAGUUUUUCAUCGUCCUGGACAAACAGGUCAUACCAUGCAAGUCAACCAGUUCUCUUGGAGCUUUUGAUGAACUUCUUCAAGGUACACUACGUAUUUGGUACCAAUUACAAUCACAUGCUUCACAACAACAUUACCAUGCAUUUAAAGUCUUGUUAAAGCCAUUCCAGGCGCUUACGGUGUCUGAUGUUCAAGAGUUUUUCUACUUCAAACCAGUUGAUGUGCAGAUGUCAUAUGGACCAACAGAUUCCUCCCUUUUUGUAGUUCCAUAUUGUCAUUAAAUGCAGCUUUAAACAGUGUGUUUAGUGUCAAAGCAAUGUUGACAGCGUUUUUGUAUUUCUGUAGUGGAGUUGUCCACAUGUUUCCAGGUGUUUACAUAGCAGACAUUUUCUCUGGAGGAUAUUUAAAGUAGCAGGAUGACUCCAGUAAGAUAGCCAAAUAAUCUGGCUGUUGUGAAGUUUUCUUUCUAAACUCCAACUGAAAUACUUGAUAAAAAGUCAGUCAUUGUAUUGAUAGUCACCAUUCAGGAAAUAAACAGUUGUUGACUGGCUGAGGUAAUCCUGCUGUCUUGUAUCCUCCCUGUGUUGUCUGAAAAUACCUUUUUGUUUUUUUGUUAAAAAUGUUUACAUGUUGUGAUGUAACGCAUUGUCAGAAUGCUAUUGCACAUGAAAAAAGAAAAUUGACACUUAUUUUAAAUUGAUUAAA